GUGGUGUGUGCAUGUGUGUGGUGUGUACGGCUGUGUGUGUGGCGUAUGGGUGUGUGGUGUGUGCAUGUGUGUGGUGUGUACGGCUG
rnacentral:lncRNA from 1 species